rnacentral:lncRNA from 1 species
UGCACUAUCAUGACAAAGAUCUAUUACAACAUGUGGUGGGUUUUGAUAAGGUAGAUUCAUGAUAUGGCUGGAAGCAUUGAUUGAAACCCUAAAACUUUGAUCAACAUGUUAGAAGGCUUACCGACUUUUGAUUGAUGCGAAAUGUCACCUCACACCAUUUUUCGAUGCUAGAAACAUAGUCAUCUAGUCAGUUUUUCAAUUUGAGGCAUCGAGAUGCAUGAAACAUUACUAAUAGCCCUUAUAUGCAUCCAAAAAUCACGAACUUCAAUCAAUCUUGUCCCAAAAGAAGAGAAGAGAAAAAAUCUAAUGAUGCUCUGAUAUCAAUUGUUGGAGAUUUUUAAAGACAAGUAGAUAAAGCAAAUAGGCAUAUAAAAAUAAAAAUACAAAGAGAACACAAAAACUUACG